rnacentral:rRNA from 1 species
GUGCCAGCAGCCGCGGUAAUACGUAGGGUGCGAGCGUUGUCCGGAAUUAUUGGGCGUAAAGAGCUUGUAGGCGGUUUGUCGCGUCUGCUGUGAAAGCCCGGGGCUUAACCCCGGGUCUGCAGUGGGUACGGGCAGGCUAGAGUGUGGUAGGGGAGACUGGAAUUCCUGGUGUAGCGGUGGAAUGCGCAGAUAUCAGGAGGAACACCGAUGGCGAAGGCAGGUCUCUGGGCCACUACUGACGCUGAGAAGCGAAAGCGUGGGGAGCGAACAGGAUUAGAUACCCGCGUAGUCC